AGAGUUUGAUCCUGGCUCAGGACGAACGCUGGCGGCGUGCUUAACACAUGCAAGUCGAACGAUGAAGUGGAGCUUGCUCCACGGAUUAGUGGCGAACGGGUGAGGAACACGUGAGAAACCUGCCUCGGAUUUUGGGAUAACAAAUGGAAACGUUUGCUAAUACCAAAUAACGUCGGAGAGUCACAUGACUUUCUGACGAAAGGAAUUCCGAUUCGAGAGGGUCUCGCGGCCUAUCAGCUUGUUGGCGGGGUAAUGGCCCACCAAGGCAACGACGGGUAGCUGGUCUGAGAGGAUGGUCAGCCACACUGGGACUGAGACACGGCCCAGACUCCUACGGGAGGCAGCAGUGGGGAAUCUUGCGCAAUGGGCGAAAGCCUGACGCAGCAACGCCGCGUGCGGGAAGAAGGCUUUCGGGCUGUAAACCGCUUUCAGCAGGAACGAAAAUGACGGUACCUGCAGAAGAAGGAGCGGCCAACUAUGUGCCAGCAGCCGCGGUGAUACAUAGGCUUCAAGCGUUGUCCGGAUUUAUUGGGCGUAAAGAGUUCGUAGGCGGUCGAGUAAGUCGGGUGUGAAAAUUCUGGGCUCAACCCAGAGACGCCACCCGAUACUGCUUAACUUGAGUUCGAUAGGGGAGUGGGGAAUUCCUAGUGUAGCGGUGAAAUGCGCAGAUAUUAGGAGGAACACCGGUGGCGAAGGCGCCACUCUGGAUCGACACUGACGCUGAGGAACGAAAGCAUGGGUAGCAAACAGGAUUAGAUACCCUGGUAGUCCAUGCGGUAAACGGUGGGCACUAGGUGUGGGUUUCUAUUAACGAAAUCCGCGCCGUCGCUAACGCAUUAAGUGCCCCGCCUGGGGAGUACGGUCGCAAGACUAAAACUCAAAGGAAUUGACGGGGGCC
rnacentral:rRNA from 1 species